rnacentral:rRNA from 1 species
UGCGUAGGCGGACCCUUAAGUCAGUGGUGAAAGUUUGCAGCUCAACUGUAAAAUUGCCAUUGAAACUGAGGGUCUUGAGUGUAAAUAAGGUAGGCGGAAUGUGUUGUGUAGCGGUGAAAUGCUUAGAUAUAACACAGAACACCAAUUGCGAAGGCAGCUUACUGGGAUACAACUGACGCUGAGGCACGAAAGCGUGGGGAUCAAACAGGAUUAGAUACCCUGGUAGUCCACGCAGUAAACGAUGAAUACUAACUGUAUGCGAUAUACUGUAUGUGGUAAAGCGAAAGCGUUAAGUAUUCCACCUGGGGAGUACGUUCGCAAGAAUGAA